GCCCUUCUCUCCGGCGGCGCUCUCCCGACGGUACGAAUGGGGGAGGGACACAUUCCUCAGCUCGUCUCUCUCAACACGCUAUUACUGGGAGGGUUUUGUAUUUACUCCAGAAUACAGAAUAGUCCAGGAGAACAGGCCCUGGAGAAUCACACUGUCAAGCUUGCUACAGGUCAUUACAGAGACAUACAUCAGCCAUCUAAAAUAAGUUUGGAUUCUUGAGUGUCAGAAUUGCUUUCAGUCAGAUUGCUCCUGCUUGCAUCGAGGAGAGGUUCCAAAUGCUCAGGACAGCUGAUCUGAAAAGGAAGGGAAGUAUUCCAUUCCUGAAGAUGCCUGGUAUAUGGAUGGGCCCAGCAAGGGUAACCUAAGCAAGUGGAGUGCAGUGGCAUACCAUCCCUCCACUGAAACAAUCUACUCUGAAGAAGGGGAUGGUAAAAGAAACCAAUGGACUGAACUGCGAGUCAUGAGGAUGGUUAUAACCAAGGAACCCGGUGAUUCUAUCCUGAAAAUCUGCACAGAUAGUUGGACUGUGUACCGAGGGAUCACUCUUUGAACUGCACAGUGGGCCACCCACGAAUGGACUAUCCAUUGCCGACCAAUCUGAGGCAGAGAGAUGUGGUUAGACAUAUGGAAUGUGGUUAAACACAGGACUGUAUGUGUCUACCACAUUUGUGGUCAUCAGCCCCUACAGUCCCUUGGAAAUGAUGAAGCUGACACACUGCCCCGAGUUUGAUGGAUUGAGAAUUCACCAUCUGAGAACAUCGCCCACUGGUUGCAUCAGAAACUGCAGCAUGCAGGACAAAAGAGAAUGUGGGCAGCUGCUAAAGCAUGGGGGCUGCCCAUACAACUAUCUGACAUUGCCUAGGCAUGCCAAGACUGUGACACUUGCUCCAAGAUGAGACUGAGAUCGUUGCCCAAAACAACAGCCCAUCUUUCUAGAGGACACAAUCCUCCCCAGUGAUGGCAGGUUGAUUACAUUGGACCCCUCCCUCGGUCUGAGGGGUCAAGAUGUGCCCUGAGCUGCAUCAAUACCGCAAGUGGGCUAAUGCAGGCCUAUCCAGUGCCAAGAGCGAACCAGACUCAUACCAUCAAGGCAUUCACCAAACUGAUGGCCACCUAUGGGGAUGGCUCAAGUCACGGACAGCCACCAAGGGACUCACUUCACCGAUGGCAAUGGUACAACAUUGGGUAGAAGAAAACAACAUGGAGCGGUGAUUCCACCUGGCAUAUCAAUCAACAGGGGCAGGUGUUAUUGAAUGCUAUAAUGAUAUUCUUAAGGCUGCUCUGAAGGCAGACUCUCAGUCCCUAGAGGAGUGGACAAAGAGACUCUACAAAAUCCUGUGGGACCUGAAUGAAAGGCCUAAAUACAGUAGACUCAGUGCCCUGAAUAUACUACAGACAACAGAGGCAUCCCCACUUAGGAUCAAAAUUACGGGAACCGACAUUUGGGUAAGACUCCAGAUUGCCAAGGAUGGUAAUCUUCUGGUCUCUGCCCCUGAGAACCUAGAACCAGGUACAUAUAGAAUAGAAUGGCCUUGGAAGCUGCAAGUAGGACCAAAGUGGUGUGGCCUACUUGAACCUUUUGGGAGAUUAUUGGAGGUUGGGGGAUUGGUAGUCCCUCCAGCAAUAGGUACGUGGCCUGCAGACAUCAUGGUCAAUGCUAUGGUUUUCAUCACUAAGGGGACCUUAAUCAUGUCCCAUAGCAAAUCAGGAUCCCAUUCUUUGGUACCUGCAAUAGUUAUGUAGUCUCAGAUAUCAGGCAAAGGGACAGAUACGGACAGCUGGGACAUACCCCAGUGCAAGCCAAAGUGUUGACUCAGGACAGGAACAUGGACUGCAUCUUGCCGUGGAUGGGGGACCUACCCCUUCUUGUACUUCUGAAACAACUAUACUACUCCCCAUGAGUCUCUUCAAAUCCACAGGAUCACCAGGAGGAGUAAUAUGGCAUCAAGAUGCUCCAGUCUUCAGUGAACUUCAAGAAGCUCACUGAAGAUCAGUGUGACACCUGUGGACUAUAUCUGACUGAUGGAACACGAGCUGAAUCUUCCCUGGUCCAAGCAACUAUGUGCCUCCAGAAGAACCACUGAGUACUGGCCCACAAUGGAAGAUGGACAUCAACCAUGAACCAGUAAUCAAUCAACUCAUGUUUUAUCAUUCUACAUCGCAACAGAAAAUUGUACAAAUGUUGCAGUGUACUGAAUCAUCAUAAUGGAAUGUGCUUACCUUUAACCUGCCUAUUCAUUGUUUCACACUGUGAAAGGGCAGAGUAUAAUGGAAAUCCAAGUCAUGGCCUGAAACAGUGAUUGAGCACCUGGUAGGAAGGCAGGGCCAACCCAGGGGAACCCAGCUGCAUGCAAUGUGUCCAGAUGUGGCACAGCCAUGAUCCAUCCCUUCCCAGACCUCAUUUAAGGGUUGGCAGUGGAAGUAAGAGCAUCUCUUUGGAGAUCCCUCUGUAUCUGGGGUCUUUAUUUCUGUGCCCACAGCUGUUGUGUUUGAGCAAAUCCUCACUCACUGCAGUCUAGGAUCUUGCUGGUUGUUGUGCUUUCCAUUGUGUUACAGGCAAUCACAUAAAAAUUUGCACAUGCAAUCUAUUCCCAAUUUCCUCCGUCUCAAUCCUCCUGUACUUCUUUUUGUCUACAUGUGCCAAAACCACUCUUAGAGAGAAAAUACCAAUUUUUGAAUAAAUAGCAGACAUCCAAAGAGCCCCUACACUGGGGUCGGUACAAGCAAUUUUCUCCAAAAAAGAGAAGCUGAAAAAACCUUUUAUGUAAACUCUGAUGCUGUUGGUGCCUUACUUAUGUAAGAAUAUGUUAACAACAACCCCCAUAUCAACUCCACUAUUUAUUAUUAUUAAAAAAUACUUAUAGAAGUUAUAUUACCAUCAUCACCACUUCCAUUUAAUCUUUUAUUAAAUUUCAAAUCAUUAAUUAACUUUUCUCAUAAAAUCAGAACUAGAUCUUAAUGACAGAGAUAUGCCCAUAAAUACUCCAAAUCCAGUGCUGAGCUCUCAUAAAAAGCUGUCCCCUUCAUAUAUGGUAACAGCAUUUUUGUCUCAGGAAAGUCAUGCAGAGCAUGGACUGGGCACUGCUCCUCAUGACUGGCUGCAACUGUUUGCACCUUCAGAAGGGAGUAGGAUGCAUCUGAGUUCUGUGCCUGCUUUGUAAAUGAUUUGUAAAGGUAUUUGGGAACAACACGCCCUGUGUCAGCAUACAUUGAGAUGUUGAGGAGCAGUUCAAGCUCCCCCCAGGUACCAGGCUGUGCUGUAACUGGGCUGAGGAUGUCAUUUAGUACCAGGAGAAAGGCUCAGGACAGCAGCAUGGCCCAUUUCUGUAGUGUAAAAUUCACUACUAGGCAAUUUCUUACACACAUUUGAACACCAGCAGACCAUUCAUUUAUGAGUUUAUAAGUUUUCAAAAAGAUUUGUGAGAAGUUGGGAGGAAUAAUCCAGUCUGUCUGACUACAAGAAAAGAGCCCCAUAUUUAACUGGAGUGACAGAAAAACUCCCAGUGAAGUGAAUUUUUCAGAGGUCCUCUGAGAGAAACUGCAGGAGAGAGAAACUGAUCUUCUGAAGAUCAGUGAAGAGCUACAUUUCACUAUAAGCAGAACCACCAGCUGAACCCUUGGUAAUCAGAUAACUGUGAGUUCUGAUACCAGAACCGCUUGCACCACUUGGUUACAGGCAGCCAGCUGGAAACAAACAGGAACUGGCAAUGACACACAGCCAAAAAUGUAGACAGCUUGGAAUGCUCCCAUCCCCAAACUCAAUGAUGGGAGCUCAGGGGGCAAGUGAGACCCAUCUGCUUUCAGCAACACCUGGUGAGGAUCACACUGUAGCCCUUUCUGGGCAUCCCACUCCACUAUGUCUCCCUGGCUGCCAAAAGCCCACCUCCUUACCCUGUUGCCCCUGCAACAGGGGCAGUUGGUGAGCACAAACUCCUCCUGGAGUCAUGGUGUCCCAGGCAGGCCCACCCAGAAGGGCAGGCUGCAUCAGCAUUGAGCCAGUGCUCCUCUUUCAGACGUUGGGCUGAGUGAGGAAACAGCCUGUUCAGCUGCUCUCCUGGUGGAUGUUGGUAGAUGGAAGGGUCAAACACUUGAGAAAGAUUCUCACAUUUUAUAGAAUUUUACAAAACUCAGGUUUUGAGAUUCCCAUUUCUUCUUUAUCCAGCCUGAGUAGGAUUAAGUAUGUGCAGUUCCCCUACUCCUUCCUUUCACAAGCUGGGCAAAGCAGUUUACAAAUGCAGCUUUCAGAUGUUGAUGCACAGAUGAUUUGCAGAUGAUACUGGCUUUGCUGUACAGAACUGCAUUAUACAUCAAAUAUUCCUGGCCUCUCAGUCAUUACUAUUUCAUUACAACAGAACACCUUUCUUUCAUAAUUAACCUUUGAAAGGAAUUUGUGACCUUGGGACACUUCCGCACACUUGCAUGUUGGAAAAUUACUCUGUCAGGAAAAAACAUGCUUUUAUGCUGAGGAUUAAUGAAAUACAGAGGCUUUUAUGGGGAACACAUGAGAUAGGAGAACUGUCCAUGCAGUCACAAAAUCACAGAAUCACACAAUUGUACUAGGAGCUGGAAGAGACCUCUAGAGAUCAUCUACUUCAACUCCCCUGCCAAAGCAGGCUCUUUAGACCAGGUUGCACAGGUAGGCAUCCAAGCGGGUCUUGAAUGUCUCCAGAGAAGGAGACUCCACAACCUUUCUGGGUGGCCUGUUCCAGGGCUCUGUCACCCUUACCAAGAAUAAGUUCUUACGCAUGUUUGUGCGGAUCUUCCUAUGUUUCAUUUUGUGGUCAUUUCCCCUUGUCCUAUCACUGCGCAUCACUGAAAAAACAUCUGGUCUCAUCCCUUUACCUCCCACACCUUAGAUAUUUAUAGACACUGAUCAGAUACCUUCUCAGUCUUCUUUUCUCAAGGCUGAACACACCCAGGUUGCUCAGCCUUCCCUCAUAAGAGAGGUGCUCCAGGACCUUUAUCAUCUUUGUGGUCCUCUGCUGGACUCUUUCCAGGAGGUUCCUGUCUUUUUUUGUACUGGGGAGCCCAGAACUGGACAUAAUACUCCAGGUGAGGCCUCAUCAGGGCAGUGAAGGGGGACGAUCACCUCCCUUGACUAGCUGGCCAUGCUCUUUUUAAUGCACUCUAGGAUGUCAUUGGCCAACUUGGCCACCAGGGCACACUGCUGGCUCAUGGACAACUUGUUCACCAGGACACCCAAGUCCCUCUCUGCAGACCUCCCCUCCAGUAGGUCAUCCCCCAACCAGUACUGGUGCAUGUGGUUAUUCCUCCCAAGGUGCAAGACUCUACACCUGCUUUUGUUAAACGUCAUCUGGUUCCUCUCGACCCAACUCUCCAGCCUGUCCAGAUCUCACUGAAUGGCACCACAGCCUUCUGGUGUGUCAGCCAUUCCUCCCAGCUUCUUAUCAUCAGCAAAGUAGCUAAAAGUGGACACUAUCCCCUCAUCAAAGUCACUGAUGAAGAUGCUGAACAAGACCAGACCCAGCACCGACCCCUGGGGAACACAGGCCUCCAACUGGACUCUGCACCGCCAAUAACCAGCCUCUGAGCUCAGCCAGUCAGCCAGUUCUCAUCUCAUCUCACCGUCCACUCAUCUAUCCCAUAUUUCCUCAGUUUCAUUAUAAAAAUGUUGUGAGAGACAGUAUCCAGUGCCUUGCUGAAAACAAAGUAGACUACAUCCACUACUCUCCCCGCAUCCACCCAGCCAGUGAUGACAUCACAAAAGGAUACCAGGUUGGUCAAACACCACCUCCCUUUGGUGAACCCAUGCUGACUACUCCUGAUGACCUUCUUCUCUUCCAACUGCCUGGAGACAGCAUCCAGAACAAGCUGUUCCAUCACCUUUCCAAGGACGGAGGUGAGGCUGACUGGCCUAUAGUUUCUGGGAUCCUCCUCCUUACCCUUUUUGAAGACUGGAGUGACACUGGCUAUCUACCAUAUCUAUCUCUACCAUUCUCCAAGACCUCUCAAAAAUGAUAGAGAGAGGUUCAGCAAUCAUCUCUGCCAGCUCCAUUAGCACACAAGAAUGUAUCCCAUCGGGGCCCAUGGAUUUACAUACACUGAUGUUACCUUUGUCCAUGUCCUCCCCUUCCAUUCCCCAGCCUUCCAUUCUCCAGAUUCUCUCAUGUACCUCUGGGGUCCAAGAUUCCUGAGGGGGAAUCUUUGCAGUGAAAACAGAAGUAAAGAAGGAGUUCAACAUCUCCAUUUCCUUGGCACCCCCACUUAUCAGAACAACUCCCUCAUUUAGUAGGGGACCCAUAUUUUCCCUAGUCUUCCUUUUACUGUUGACAUACUUAAAAAAGCCUUUCUUAUUAUCCUUUAUCUCCUUUGCCAGAUUCAAUUCCAGGUAGGCUUUAGCCUUCCUCAUUGCAUCGCUGCAGGGCCUGACAACAUUCCUAUAUUAUUCCCAAGUGGUCAGACCCUUUUCCCACAUUUCAUGGACAUUCCUCUUCCCUUUGAGUUUAUGUAUGAGCUCUUUGCUCAUCCACACAGGUCUCCUGCCACCUUUCCCUGAUUUCUUUCUCAUAAGAACACACUGAUCCUGAGCUUGGAAGCACUGUUUAAAUGCUGACCAACUCUCACAGGCCCCCUUACACCCUAGCCCAUGGGAUAGCUUCAACUAGGUCCCAGAAGAGAUCAAUGGCUCUCCUAAAGUCGAGGGUAGCAAUUCUACUUUUUGGUUUGCUUCUUCCACUCAUGAUCACUUAAUAAACAAGAGCCAGGACAUAUAAAUUAGAGUAAUAAAUUGACACCAGAUUAACGUUAAAAGAAAUUACAAGAGUUUCCCCAGAAGAUGUUACAGUAAGCAUGGUCCUUGAUGCUCUUCUCCACUACUUUGACUUUGGGGUAGAAAGAAGGAAUAAGGAGACAAGGCACUUAUACUCAUGUAAUUCCUCUUUCUUUAAGCCAGCAGAAGCAUAGGUGUCUCCUCAAGUCCAGAUGCAGCAGUUCAGCUGCUAUCUUCAUCAGAAAUUGCUGUUCAGUUUGAAAUGCUUUUACUCUAAAAGGUGACCAGAGAGCAAUAACCAUUUUUACAUGCUGAGAGAGAACCACAGCACAUGUAGUCACUUCUGUGGCAUUACUGCAAAGCUCAGAGCAAUAGAUCAGAGCUACCUUUCAGCUUCACUCAGAGCAGUCACGGGCAGAGCAGGCAGCAAUAUUAACUCUUCAGAAUGGUUCUUUCUCAUCAUCCUGAGAACUCCCUCUGAGAGCUGACACCUCCAUCAAUACAGACAUGCUCAUCACCCUAAAAUCACCUCAUGCCCGCUUUUCAUUUUUUUCUAAAAUGAAAAGCAUCAGGAAGAAGAGAUACUUACACACACUACUGUUUCUUAAUUAAAAGUAUUUGUUCUCAAACCUCAUAAAUGAUGUUUUAACAAUAACAACAACAAAAUAGCACUCAAUUAUUUACUGACUCUAUUUCAGUUGUUUUUGGGGCAGUCUCUCCUUCUCUCACCAGUCAAUAUAUGUCAGUGCAUAUACAUCUAAUCUGAUCAGUCAACAACAUUUUACACACCCACUGCAGCAUAUAGAAUUAUAAAACAUCAGUCCUCUCACAGAAGCUGCUGGAACUUGCAGAGGCAAACCACACUGUUUGUCUUUCCUACUGUAGAGCCUUUCUUUCUUUGUUAUGACAAAAAGUGUUUGUUCCACUGGAGUUAUUUGUCUUGUUUAUUCCAGAGACUUUUCUCCUUUUCAGCUUUAUCAUUGAAAACAGUUUCAGUCCUUCUCCAUCCCUUUCCUGUACCUUGUUUUGCUUCCCUCAGUCCCCUCAGGCUUCUGCCAGCUGACUGUCAUCUAUCUGCUUAGCUCUCCUAAAUGCUGAGCCCUGCUGCCAAAGAAAGAGAGUAAGUUCUACUUCAUCAGAGCAAAGAUCAGAUGGUGUCCUGGCCUCACAGAAUAGCUUCCCUCCCGCACCAAGGGAACAACCCCAGCUCUCAGUGUUGGACUGCAGCUGAAUGAUAAGCACUCUGAAGCACCAGGCUUUUACACACAUCAACUGCUGGAAGCCAGUCCUGUGCCAAAAACAAAGAGACAAAACAGAACAACCCACCACUAACAAAAACCCACACCAACUGAAAAACUCUAUUGCCCUCAUAUUAAAUGUUUUGAUGUACUCCUGAACACCAGCCUCUCUUUUAUAUCAAAGAAAAAGAUGGAAGAAAUCUGAGGAAGCAGCCUUUUAUUCACUGUGACUGUUUUGUACAUCAGGUGCUCUAAAAAUUUGUUUUUUUUCCUAGCUUCUGUUCUUACCAUUCUUUAACCACACCUCAUUAUCUCUCUCCACAGUAAUGGGAUAAUCUAGACUCAAACAGCAAAUCCCUAAUACUGUUUUCAGUUAGACCAUUAUCCUUCUUUAACAUCAGUGUUUUUUUUAAUAAUUUAUAUAUAUAUUUACGUAUAUAUAAAUUCUAAAUUUUUUAAAUAGUUCUUAUUAAGUAUCUACUACUUCUAUUAUUUCUUACAUGCCAGUCACAUUUUACACAAACAGCAAAAGACCUAAAGGCACACUGAAGGAAACAUGGAGAAAAUGGCAUGUAUUUAUACUGUGUCUGACCCAAAAUACCUAACAUCCCCAUUAGCUACACAACAGAGAUAUACUGAACUGGCCACUUACCUUAAUUUCAAAAGAAAAUAACUUAUUCCAGUUGAAAUUUCUUAACAGAGAAAGUUCGAUAGCUUGAGAGUUGAGUUCCUAUGUAGGUGAGAUAUGCCUCAAGACUUACAAGUCCAAUAACAAUUUAUUGCUAUAGCAUGCAUUUAAUUCCUGGCGUCACCCCUUGCAAAGACUAUGUUAAAUACUUUGAAUACUGUGAGGGUAUCACAGACUAAUUCGAAAUACAAUAAGCAAUAAUAGUUUCCAAGUAUUGCCAAUGCUGACUUAAAAUCUGAAGUCACCAUAGAGAGGUGAUGUGUCAUGUAAAGCAGAACUGCUCAUGCAUCUAGAGCUUAAUCCACUUCCCCAUUAAGUCAAUAGAAGACAUUGAAUUUAUACAAAAGGUGAUCUGGGCCCCUACUUUGCAAGCACAGGCUUUAACUCCUUUUCCCCUUUUGUGACAUUAAACAAGGAAAAUUAAGUAACGGUACAAAGAAAAAAAAAAGUAACAAAGUCAGUGUUAAAAGCCCCAGUGAAAUUGCAUGGAGUCCAUUUCCCUUCAUUCACCAAGUGCAUCUCAAAAUGUUCCCACCCCACAAAAAUCCAACCUAAUUUUUAGCAGAAUUUGGUAAUUACAGGACUGUCAAUCUCACUUCAGUGCCUGGCAAAAUUAUGGAGAUAAUUAUUCUAGGAGUUACUGUAAAACACCUGAAGAACAAUCCAGUCAUUGGUCACAACCAGUACAGGUUCAGAAGGGUGAAGUCCUGUUCAAUGACCUUGAUCUCCUUUUAUGACAAGGUCACCCACCCAGUUGACCAAGGGAAGCCAGUGCAUGUAAUCUUUUGGGAUUUCAGCAAAACUUUCAAUAGUGUUUCUCACUAUAUCCUUUGGGAAAAAGUGUCUAGAACACAAUUAAGUGAAAACAUAAUACAGUGGGUGAACAAUUGGCUUAUGAUUUGGACUCAAAGGGUUACAGUAAAUGGGGUUACACCAAGCUGGCGGCCAGAGUCAUUGAUGGAGUUCUUCAGGGCUCUAUUUUAGGGCCCUAUCCCUUUAACGAUUUCAUCAAUGACUUUGAUAAAGGACUUGAAGGUAUAUUAACUACAUUUGCAGAAAAUGCUAAGCAGGGAGGAGCUGUUGACUCCUUCAAGGGAAGAAAGGACUCACAGUGGCCUACAGCUUCCUCUUGAGGGGAGAGCAGAGGGGCUGGCACUGAUCCCUCUGAUGCCAGUGACAUGACUUGAGAGAAUGUCAUAGAGCUCUGUCAGGGGAUGGUCAGGUUCAGCAUUAAGAAAAAGUCCCUGCCAGAGUUCAAGAAGGGUUGGACAACAUCCUCCAGAAUACAGUUUGAGUUGUGUGCAGUCCUGACAGGAGGCAUGUGUUAGACUCAAUCCUUGUGAGUCCCUUCCAGAUCAGGAUACUCUGGGAUUCAAUGACUGUGCUUCCCUUGUCUUCUUGCAAGAGUGUUGGUAUGCUUGGAUCCCUCUCAGCUACAGCAAGGUAUCAGGGACAGUAGCAGCAUCAUACUGUGGUAGAUUAACUUACUGACAGCUAAGGGGGAGAUAGUGGAUGAAGAAGGGUUGGAGCCCCUGCAGGUCUCUAUGCCUACCUGUGGAAGACAGCUGCCCCUAGGAAAGGGACCCUCAACAACCACACCACACCCUUCCUUCAAAACUUCAGCAACUCACAGGCCAUAGGUCCCAACUCCACACAGUGCCAUAUUUUGGUCACCACAGGACACUGUUAGAACAACAUGUCUGUGGCCUCCUGAUUUCACCUGCCACCUCACAGCCAUCUGCUCUGGACCCUAUAAAUACAGAGACCCUGCAACCAGAACUCCAGAUGUUGAGCAAGUGAUGGCAGUGGCAAGUGCUUUCCUUGGGAGUUAGCCUAGCUGUGAAACGUGAAAGGGGGCAGGACAGACUGCUCUCCUGCAAAGAAAUGGUGGCUGACAGUGAGGCUCCAUAUCAUUGAACCGGUGGAGGUGGACCCACUUGAGAAUGAUAAAGAGCCCAAAGAGGUGGAUACAGAGCUGGAAGAGCCAAUGGAAGUCGAUCCACCUCCAUCAGGCAAAAAUCACCACUGCUCUCAGGCAGUGUGGGAGGAGAUCUGGACCACAAAAUUUCCUCUGAACAUUUUCAUGCUGCUUGAGGUACACAGGGGUCAACUGAUAGGGGAUGUCUACCUACGUGCCUUUGCUCCUUUCCCAUAAGCCCUCUUUUGAUGACCCUCUUACAACAUACAGGGAACAUAUAGGUAUUAGGAAAAGUCUCCUGACUGAAUUCAAGAAGCAUUUGGAAAACAUUCACCAAAAUAUAGUUCAAUCAAUAUGAGUCUGAUCACACUAAGACUAGAUGGGUGCUGUACUGCAUCAUACCCAAUCAAACUGAUUAAUUGGUGCUCACUGCUUCACAUGGUUUUGUAACUGUUCCUGUAUUUUUUGCUCAGUGGUUUAUCCAAUUCAAUUUCUAACCAGGAUGAUGUGCACUUGGCAAAGUAGGAAACAUUACAUCCAAUCACUGAAGUGUAAGCCUCUGAUUCUCAUUUGUCAGUGGUAUUAAAUAGUCUUAAUCAUAGUAUGUGUGCAUAGCUCCUUGUUCUUCACAGCACUCUGUGUGAAAACAACUGUGACUUUCAAUGCUUUAAAAUGAAAACCUAGAAGAGUCAAUUUUUAAAAAGGAAUUACACUUGGAAUACAAUUACAUUUAAAAACAGAGGAACUAGGAAAAUAGUUAAAACAUAAAAAGAUUUAUAUUUUAAAGCUUCUCAUUACAUUCUAGAAUGCAUUAAGUUCCUCUUUUGAAAGCUACUGGCUUCACUAACACUGAAUUUAAGCGGAUUUGAAGUAUACAAUCACCUGUUAUCAAAAUAAAGAUGCUCACUUGAAUGCAAAUUGUUAAUAUUAAAAACUUUCACAUAUUUAUAAAAUGGAAGCAGAGUCUAAUGGAGAAAGAGAAUUGGAAAAAAAAAAAAACAACCCAAGAAAUAAAGAGCCAGAAUAUGUUUAUGCUCCAACACAAUUUGUGUGUGGCCCCUUUAAGUAAUAUUCUGUAAUUUGAAGACAUCUUAAGGGACUGUACCCUCUCUCUCCAACUUCUAGACUGUUAACAGGCACUGUAACACUGGUAAUCUUUCCAUACAUCUCUGAAGGGCAGCAGUAUAGAUCAAUCGACUUCAAUGUCACUUAUUAACAUUUAUGUUAAGGCAUUGAUAACAUCUGUAUUUCUGUGCUCUGAGACUGACUCAUUUGGUGUUUUUCUCAGUCUUAAAAAAAUUUAUUUCAAAUCUAAGGUCACUCUUGUUAUGUUCAAUAUAAGUUCAUUUUUUAAAUGGCACUAUUGUUGCAAUGAUCCAGCAUAGCUUCAGGUUUAUAUGAUCUUCCCAGCUUUGCUUUGUUUCAAACAAAGGAAAACCCCUCCACUACCCCAAAACAUGUGUAAAAAGUAUUACUCCAUAAAAGCCUUGCCUGCAUAAUACUUUAUUUUUAUGGAAAUUCGGAUAUCCAAAUACAGGCACACAGGCAUACAUUUCACCCUAGCGCUAUACUCAGAGCCAGCAUUCCCUGGAUCCUGAGAAUUGCACCUUAGGCACCACAGACUGCACACAGUAAAGUGCAGAUUGCUCCUAGGUCAGCUCAGGACUCUUUUCUGAGCUGUUUUUUUUCAGUGAUGACUCAAUGCAUGAUAUUUUAUCACUAUAAAAUUCUAACUUCUAGCAUCAGUGUGGCCAUAAAUGAUUUUUAUCAUACCAUAAACUCCAAAAUCACCCAGAUGGCAAUUACACUGCUCUACUUAUAGUACAUUAGAGUACUAUUUAAGGAAACCGAAGCGAUACAAACCUGAUUGAGAGACCUGGGAUAACUGAGUCUCCAUAUUCUCCUCUCCUCAGUUGCUUUCCUCCCACCUGUUUUUUUCCAGAAUUACAGUUCUGGACAAACCACGACUCUUUAUUUUACUGUUUGGCAAUCACAACUUGGCUUAUGUACCCUUACUGUUAAACAGCACAGUUCUGUGGGCAGAUCACCUCACUGAUAGCCAGAUUUCCAAGUCAAACUCAGUCCAUGUUGUGUUUGCUGGUCACUCCACCUCUUCAGACUUCUGUUCUGGUCCUUUUUUCCUUAAUAAUUAGGAUCACUCAUAAAAAGCAGAGUCUCAUGCUUAGGUCUGUUGAUGUGGUUAAAACAACAUGAUCCCAAUGUCUUAUUUGAAUGUCUUGAGGUAUCAAAACAUGGAACAUCUGUGGAUUCGUGCCAAAAUGUGCAGAUACCUGAAAUGCUAUUGUGGGUAAAGUUCAUCUCCACCUUGAUCAUACUAUUCCUUAUUAACUUCCUUAUUUAUUACUGAUUUCUCUUUAUAGACUGACCAUGCAACACAGAAUGUCAGAAACUCUGAUGAGACCAUGUGAACAAGGAGAGCUUUUUAGCUCUUCUUCAGUGGUUAAUGUCCUCAUUUUAAGACUGCCUGAGAACCUGAGAUCAUUUAGUAACUCACUGUUUUGCUCCUAGUUUUCUGAAAGUUCUAUUCCCAGUUCUCUUUUUUAAGCAUUACACAAUAUUCUUACUCUUGCCCUGGACAAAACCUGGUGCACCUAUCUCUGUUACUCAUGAACUCAAGAAAUCCAUUUUGAAGAAAUGAAGAAAUCCAUCCUCAUGUCCAGAGGUUCUACCUAGCUGAGCCUUUUCAUUCUUUCUUUUGUAAAGAAAACACGGUCUUUCACUAAAGCUGUUACAGUCAUCUCCUGGAACAAACAAACAAAAUCUUGAAAUGAAAGAAACAUGACAUGCAUGUGUCUGUGACACAUGUGUACAUUAAGCAUGUAAAGCCAGCUCCUUCACAGCUUCUGCAAGAGGAUGAUGAGAUUAAGAGCUCUUUCUAAUCAAGAUCUAACUUCAGGGAGCCACAACAAUGGGCAACGCUGAAACCUCCCCUCACCAUUACUUAAAAAUACUACUUCAGUGUACAAUUUGCAUCUUGAAUAGUAUCAGAAAUUUAACAUAAAAAUAUUUUUGUCUUAAUCAAAUUCUGACAAUAUUUAUAAGGCUUCAUUGAUCUUUUUUUUUUUUUAUCAGAUGAUAAUCUCUUGUUUGAUUUUGAGGUUGAGAAAAAGGUGAAAAAGCCCAACCCCAGUUUCUGCUAUAGUUUACAGAACAUAGCAGUAACUACAAUUAGUUACAAUUAGAAACACCUUCAAGGAAACAUAACUGUAAAACAGCUUUUAUAGGUGUUUGCACUAGUGUCUCCUCUAAAACUUGUGCUCAUGGUGUGAUCUGCCAAACAGUACUUCACUACCUCCUAAAAUUCUGAACUGAAUCUGAAAUAUAUCUACAUAACUUCCAGAUUUUUCUUUUUUAGUAUCUGAUGAGUAACAGAAUAGAAGUUUGUUGUGGUUUUGUAAUUUUGCUAUUGGUAUUACACAUCAUAACAUCAUGCGCAGCCCAGGUAAAUUAAAGGGUUAAUACUCCAGUUCCAUGGAUUGGCAACCUUCCAGAUACCUGCUUCUCAAAAGAGAAGAACUACAUAUCCCAGAGGACCUCACAGUCAGAGAAGGAAGAUAUGUCAUGGAAAUCAACGGGAUCUAAGUCACAGGAUCGGGCUCUCUCUCUAUCUCUCUCUGUCUCUCUGUCUCUCUCUGGCUGCCAGGUGGAGGUGUGGGUGUGCUUCCAAGCUGUGAGCCUUCAUUCAAGUAGGCCUUUCUGUUUUGGAAACUUUCUCUUUUUUUAUUCGAUUUAUUACCCUUACUUUCAAUUAGAUUGUAUUAUAUUGUGUUACCUUCCAUUCUGAUAUCAUAGUUAGUAAAAUAAGUUUUACUCCUUAGAUUGUUGCCACUGCUCCGUUCUUUUUCCCUCUCUGAGCCCAGCUUCUGCUCCACUACCCCUUUCCCUUUUCCCCUUCCCAUUUUUGGGAGCCUUUGAUCAUUUGAUUCAGAGACUCAGAAAGCUUAAUACACAUCACCACCAUGCUUAUGCAGCAUAGUGAUACUACUGCCCUAAUACUUUCAAGAUAUACCCACCAUUAUAGGAAGUUAAUCUUAACCUAAAUUGACUACUGAAUCUAUAUGUAUCUCUCGAAAUGAUUCAUAGUUUCUUAAAUGAAGAAAAAAUUUCACAUGUACAACUGUUAUACCUCCCUUCCAAAAUACAAAAUGAACAGAUUUUAAAGACAAGAAAAGAUCACCAUACCUCUCCAGUACAACUACAACUCUAGUACAACUAAAAUCUCAUCCACCACUUUUCUACACCAGUGCUCUGAAUUCUGCCUGAAUAUGAAAUGGCUUAAAAAUAAUACCCAGUUUAAUCUGAAAAGUUGAAGAAAAUAAUUUCUCUCAAUCCUACACUAAACUACAUCAAUGGCUAGUUACUUCCAUAAGUACCCCAUUUCUAAUCCAAUACAAAACACACUGAUGUAUAUACAAAUUUCUCACUCCAAGAUCUCAUUCAGGACCCAUGUUUCCAUGAGUAAAAGUUUAUUCAGAAAAGAAGACAGAAGAUCUCAUUUUGUUUACAGUUAUUGCACUUUUCAUUUUGGAUGUUCUUGACAAUGAAGACUGUAGUUUCUGAGAUGAGGCAAAUUCAGUGUAAACUAGAAGUAGCCAGAUGAGCAAUCCAACAAAAAGAAGAGAGGAUGGGUGAUGAACUGCCAUUAUGAACCCUUACUGAUCACAAAAGCACAUACAUGAGGACAUCAAAACAAAGGCAAAAUUGACUUAUCUUUCCAACUUUCAGAGAAGCAAAUUACUUUUCCUCAUGUAAAAUACACCACCUUAACUCUGUUCUUCAGAUGUUAAGACUGUUGCUCUCUUUUCAAACUUUUCAGGCAAAAUAAAUCCCUAGCAAAUUAGUCACUAAUGACUAAUCAUGAAUGGAUUUUAUCUUCAUUUUUCUGGCCAUGUUGCUUAUACAGUUUGCUUCAAGACAGCAUCUGUAGGGCUUUUUGUUUUGUUUGUUUUUAAACAUAAUAUUUUAUUCUUAUAUAUUUUUUUAAACAUCCCAUAUCCACUACCAGCAGCCAUAGUUUGAAGAAGAGUUUGUGAUAUCUCUAAACUUGCUUACAGGUACAAAACUCUCUAAAUUUAAGCUGUAACAGCUGUAUAAUAAGACUUGUAGUUCCCAUUCUAGCUUUUCAAUACAAAAUGUAGUACCUAGAAGAGUUUUUAUUAAAUCUGAAUUAAAGAAAUGACAGCACUUUGUACAGCCAAUACCUUUGAUUCAUUCUCACAAAACUGUUUAUUUAAGUUGGAGGAAGGUGGGGGGAAGAUGUCACUGAAAAACAAAUUUUAUGCAGAGAUCUGUAUCUCUGAAUGGAAGUUGCCGCUAAAAAGAUUUUCUGAGGACUGUGCUUGAAGAUUAGCAGCUAUAUCAACUGGAAAUACAAAGUUUAUUCUUGGUGUUCAAAGGCACGUGUAGAGCUUCCUGGAGCUGCCUCACUGCAUGUCUGGUUCAGAGAUGAAUUAUGAAGCAGCAAUUGCAUUUUCAUGUAUCACCAAAGUUCACUGCAUGUAUGUUUUCCACAUAUUAAAUGCUACAUCAAAAUAUACAAUCAUUUUUCAGCCUCACUGCUACUCUUAUACUUUGCAUAGGUCACAGGAAGAAACUGUAUGUGUAGCAGAGGUGAUACUCUUCAUGAUUGCUGGCAACCCGUCACAUGUCACACAAUGAGUCUCAUACACUACAACUAAACAGAAUCUUAGAAGGCCAGUAUUUUUGUGAUAGGACAUCCCCUCCUCUUACAGAGCUCACUGCUCACCACUUCCAUCUGAAGCACUUAAUAUUGCAAAACCUGACUACACAAUGGAUUGGGAGGGAGUGUUGAUCUGCCAGAUGGCAGUAAGACACUACAGAGGGACAUGGACAGACUGGAUCGAUGGGCCAAGGCAAACUGUAUGAGUUUCAAUAGGGCUAGGUGUCAGGUCCUGCAUUUUGGUCACAACAACCCUAGGCAGCCCUACAGACUUGGAGAGGAGUGGUUGGAAACACGCCUGUCAGAAAAGGACCUUGUUGUACUGUUGGACAGUCAGCUAAAUAUGACCCAUCAGUGUGCCCAGGUGGCCAAGAAGGCCAAUGGCAUGCUGGCUUGUAUCAGAAACUGUGAGAUGAGCAGGACUAGGGAAGUAAUCCUACCCCUGUACUUGGCACUGGUGAGGCCCCACCUCAAGUACUGUGUUCAGUUUUGGGCACCUCAAUACAGAAAGGACAUUGAGGUGCUGGAGCAGGUCCAAAGAAAGGCAACAAGACAGGUGAAGGGCUUGGAGAAUAUGCCCUAUGAGGAGCGACUGAAGGAACUGGGGCUGUUUAGUCUGGGUAAGAGAAGGCUGAGGGGAGACCUUACUGCUCUCUUCAAAUACCUGACAGGUGACUGCAGCGAGAGUGGGGCUGGUCUCUUCUCACUGGUGACAGGACGAGGAGAAAUGGCCUCAAGUUGCACUAGGGGAAGUUUAGGUUGGGUAUCAGGAAGGGUUACAGAAAGGGUUACAGAAAGGGUUGUUAAGCACUGGAACAUGCUCCCCAGGUAGGUGGUUGAGUCACCAUCCCUGAUUGUGUUUAAAAACCCUGUAGAUGUGGUGCUCAGGGACAUGAUCUAGCAGAGGGUUGUUAGCAUUGUAUGGUUAGGUUGAGGUUGGACUUGAUGAUCUUGAGGGUCUUUUCCAACCUCAGCAAUUCCAUGAUUUGGCAUGAUUUGGCAUCACUGGAAAAUAGUAUCUUAGACACAAGCGCUAAUAAUUGUAAAUAAAGCUGCCAAUACAAUAAUAGUUUUUGAUGCAUUUUCAACUUCACAUACCUUAAAGCCAGCAACACAGAGGGUAAUCAGUGCCUUAAGAUUUUAUCAGGAAGUGUUGACAAAGAAUUUGCUGUAGUGUGAUACAGAUAAGCAACUACCUACCUAUGGAUGUGGAUGACAGUGCUUCAUAGCAAUUCAAACAAAUACAUGGCAAGGCAAAAGAGGCAGACAGAACAAGGUAGAGCAAAAAACAAACAAACAAACAAACAAACAAACAACAAAAACAACAACAACAAAAACCCAACCCAAAGAUCAGUAACUCACCUAUAAUUUUGCCUAGUUGCAAUUGUUCAGCAAUCAAGAAUAGUUUGGCAGCUAACUGGAAACUCAUAUUAACAAAGAAUAAAUGGUAGUCUGAUGAAAAUAACCUCUCUGGGUUAUAAAGUUUGUUAGAGAGAGAGGAAAAAAAAAAAAAAAACAACAAAUCACCAGACUACAGGGGUCAGCCCCUACCUUUUUGUCACUCCCUUGCCCCUGACACAGGCAGCUCCAAAGAAUAGACCUCUUUAAGGAAAACUUAUCCUUUUACAUACAUUUCCUGCCACACCUACGCCAGAGGGUAAUUUGUUCUUUACGCAUCACUGAAUUAGGGGAAAAAAAAAAAAAAAAAAAAGCAAGGUUGCUCCUCAACAGUAAUUACAAAAAUGAAGUUUUUCUCUUGUGUAAAUACUCCUCUCUAUCAGACCACUGGGACUCAGAUCUGUUGACCUAUUUUUUUCAUAAAUUGCCAGGCAAAACAAACACAAAAAACACCACCAGCAAAAAAACAACAGCAACAAUAACAACAAAAAAAUAAACAACAACCAAUCAAAAAAACAAACCAAAACAAAAAAACCCUCACACACACAAACAUACACACAAAAAAAAGCACCCUACCAAAACCCACCAGAAAAACAGCAACAAGUGAAGAUGCAAAAUAUAUAAUUUCAUCUCAUUCUCUACACAGUUUGAAAAACACAUUGCUAAUGUAACUUAUGCAGUGCUGUGGAGCAGAGGUGAGAGCUCCCUUCACUUGGUGGGAAUAGGUGAACCACUCUAAGCACAGAACCGAGUCAAGGCACCGAUGGAGGGUGCAGAAACUAACCUACCAUUUUUUUUUUUUUGCCAGCAUAUUGUAGCACAUAAACAAGAAAUUGAUGGUCUUUAAAUCCACUCCUUCUGCUUUUCUUUCAAAAACACAAAGUGACUUGACACAAGAAGAAAGUUUAAGAACUUUUCAGCACAGGAAAGCUUUCCUGCAGAACUUUUUGUCCAGCUUCAGCCACAGCACUUUAAGAUACAUAUGGACGAACUGAAGAGAGGAUAAGAAGAGUAAUAAGAAAAGGUGACCAAUAAAGAAAGGCUGAACAUUAAAAAAAGGCAGCAUUAAAAAAAAAAAAAGAUUAACAUGUCAGUAGAGUCUGUGCACACAGUCCUUUAGUAACACUGGACAGAGAAUUUAAAGGAAAAUACUUCAGAGAAGUAAAUGAAUAUUCUUUCCAGCAGAAUGAUUGCUUUGAGGACAGAAAUUAAAAUUACGCAAGUCUUUAUUUUUCUCCUCUAUUUCAUCGCAGGAUUUUUAUUUCAUAAGAAUCACUCUGAAGGUAAAAUAUAUCCACUACCCCAAGCAAUUAACACGAAAAGAAAGAAGAUAAAAAGAAUACUCCAAGGGCCAAGUAUGCAAGACUGAAAGAACUAUUCAAUUAAGGUAUAAUAAUCAAUUUUUCCCUGAAUUAUAUUCAAUAAGAAUAUAAAAGUUUGCAGAAGAGAUGAAUGGGUUACAAGAGAAGUUAAAGUGAAAGCUCCAACAUUGCCUCAUCACUCUCUUUGUGUUUCUGAAAAGAAUCACCAUUAUCAGAAAACUACUUGCUGCAAAUCAGAUUUCUGUCUGUAUUCUAGUUUUAAGGUGUGCAUACAUGGUUCUGCAAGCAACUAGUAAAAGAGACAUAGGCAAUACAUACAACAGUUAGUAAUGCUUGACAGACUUCAGUCCUAGCAUUAGCAGUCUCACAUGUCAAACUUUUUGCAGAUGACACAGGAAGAAAUUCUAAAUUAACUCCUGCUUGAAUACUAGCCUUUCGUUCUAGCUCAACUUGGUUGUGAAGGGCAAGAAGAAAUCAAGCUUCUCCUGUCCUCCCUCAUACAUUUUGUUGUUCAUCUAGUGGCAAAUAUGUGCCAGGUUCUGCUGUAUGAAUAAAAAGAUUCAUGAAUUUCUAAGUUUUGUCUCACUUAUUUACUCUGAGAGUCAGCCUUACUGUAUUUAUUAAACUACUUAUCCAUGAAUCCUUGCUCACAACAACUGAAAAUCCUGAAGACAAGUAACAAUAGGUGCUUAGCAACCCAAAAUUACACUGUGAUGGUUCCACUAGAAAAUGAGAAAUAACUGCACUGAAAUGCAGUUAUUUUGCACCAUAAAACCAGCUGCAUAAACACUUCUGGGGCAGAAACCCAGGAUUUUAUGGAUUUAUAAGCCACUAGAGGAAACAAGCACUAUUCCUCCUUCAGACCUAUUUCCUCACCUAACAUAUACAAUCCCAUACAACUUCUGCCUUUGGUCAUGUAUGAUGUUCUGCCAUUAAUAAAGAAAUAAUUUAAAAGAAAAAGAAGACAGGCUAUUUUAUUACUCAUCCUACUUCACAAAUGCAAGCAGAUUUUCUAUACGGAAUAAAGAGGACGGUUUGUUUCAGCCCUUGGUGAGAGGCAUCAGAUGUUCCUUGGCAACCUCUCCUAGGAGCACAGUAAGUUUUUCAAGAGGUUGCUGCAAUGCCUUAGCUCUGAUGGAGGCCUAAAAUGAAACAGAUUGAAAGCUGAGCUAUAAACCAGAGGAAUAAAGACCAGUGGGCUUAAGAAAAUAGGGUGUUCUAGGCUGCUUGUGUAUUUUUAAAAAUUAUAGCUGGGAAAAGCAAUUAGAUAGACAAAGAUAAAGCAGAAAAGGUAUUCAACUGCUUGCCACUACGUGAUUCUCACAGCUGCUUCCUCACCAGCUGUCAUUCAAAAUGAAAUGACAGUUAUGGAUGAGAGCGUUCCAUUGUUUUCUGCCCUUACACACAUUGUUUUCUGCCCUUAGUGGUUUUCAAGGAAGCAAUAGUUUGAAUUCAGCUCUAGCUGAAGUUUUGUUCCCACCUAUUCGACGCUUUACACUAAACAUGGCAAAUAACCUUCAUCUUCAGAGGACCUGAGCAGACGAUAAAAGUUACUAAAGGAAAUAUCAACCAACUUUUGGAUAUGAAAAAACAUGAAAACUAGUAAAAUACACUAAUUUGGCCUUUUCUCAGUAGUUGUGCAUAUACAUCUUCAGGGAGUUCAGAUUAUGUUCACUGCUACCAUAUGGCCAGUUUGUUAAAGUACCAUGUACAAAGCAGACAGCUGCUUCACUGAAUGAACAGAUCCCAUCCGCAACAUUUUACUUUUAUUUAGAAAAUAUGACUUUCAUGAGUUCAUGUUUAUUAUUAACAUACCUGUCCUGACUUCCUUCUGUGAUGUGGUAGAGAUGAUUAGCACCUCCAUCAGCACAAGCUCUGAGUGCAGCUGGAAUUGGAAGAAAGAGAGCAUCAGUAUAUUUUAAUUUUAAAUAAAAAUCCUAACCACUUCUGUUUCCUGUGUUGCUGACAUUUCUGUGU